GGGCGCUGCAGGCUGCUGACCCGGGCACGGCUAAGCACUGUGCCUGCUCCCCUCAGCCCCACCCACCCUGCUCUGUGGCGCUGUCUGCGUUAAACCAGCCAGGAGGCAGGCUCAGGAGAAGUGGAAGCCACGGCUUGAGCCCAGGUGGCCUGGCUGCAGAAUCCAACCUGCCGCCCGCUCUGCCCACAGCCCUUCUGCGGCAGCGCCUCUUGGGCCCUCUCCAGCCGCCGCUGGUGAUCUGGAACACCUUACGGAAUGAAGAAGUCUGCAGCAAAGCACCACGGCCGCCCUGCAGGGCCUGUGGGGACACUCUUGGCCCUCCUUGCGUGGACAAGGGCCCCUGCUCUUUGAGCAGUCUACGCAGUAGCAAAGGCGGGGGUCUGAGGCAUGGGUCUCCCGGCCUCCAGCCGUGAGUGCUUAGGAAAUAGUGUCACAUCUCUGAGCCCUGCUAUGGUCAGCCGAGAAGCAGGGGCCGACUCCUGACUACAGGCCUGUCACAGGAGCUGAGCAGCCCUGAAUGUGAAAGUGAGUUUAACAAACGUUUACCAUUGGACACCAGAAAGGAGUGUUUUUUUUGGGGGGGUGGGUUUUUUAGACUGGGUCUGGCCUUGAACUUACGGCAUAGCCCAGGCUGCCUCAAACUCACAG
rnacentral:lncRNA from 1 species